rnacentral:lncRNA from 1 species
CUGGAACAGGCCCCAGCUGUUCUUCCUCCCCACUUAUCUCGGUCUCUGAAGGCAGCUGCCUGUCUAGUGGCUGGGAAAUGUCGGACGGCCCUGGCUCUUUCUCUGCGUCUGACGCAGAGCAUCCGUCAGUGCCUUCCCCAGACUCCAGCACUGGCCCAAGUUCUUCCCCAACCUCCUCAUCGUCCGAUUCUACUGCCAGCCCUGCCGGGAGCUGGUGGGCCAGAACAGAAGAGCUUUGGAUUUGUGCAAGCCUCUUGUCUUCUUUCAGGCUUCCUCGCAAGUGAAAAGAAAAGAAAGAGAUAGCUGCUUUGAUGAAUGGAAUCAAAGCAGCAUGUCUUCAGUGUGACUUUUAAAGCAGCUGCAUCUUUCUUUCGGGGCUGGCAGGAAAGUCUGACAAAAACCUCGGGUAGAUAUGUGGAUAAGCUUGAGUUAUGAAUUAAGUUACACUUAUAACCUUCCUUUGUGCUAAACUGGCUGAUAAGCCAAGAGUGGAUCUUGCAAAGUUAGGAAGGCGGGGUCUGCUGCUGAUUGACAGUUUCUGCCUUCCCUUCCCCCUUUUCAGGGCCAUUCCUCCGGCACAUCUCCCAUGUCGUCUAGCGUGCAGUCAGGAACACCCAUCACCAAUGACCUCUUCAGCCAGGCCUUACAGCACGCCCUCCAGGCAUCAGGACAGCCUAGUCUUCAGAGCCAGUGGCAGCCCCAGCUGCAGCAGCUGCGAGACAUGGGCAUCCACGAUGAUGAGCUGAGCCUCCGUGCCCUCCAGGCCACUGGGGGCGACAUCCAGGCUGCCCUGGAACUCAUCUUUGCAGGGGGAGCCCCUUAACCCCGUCCCCGAGGCAUGCCCCCAUCCUGCAGGGGGCGAUGGCGUGUACAUCCGACCUCCGCCCCACCAAGCCAGCCCUUCGACGCGCAUCGCCUCCCUGUUCCCCAGCAUGUUCUUCUUCCUCUUCACGUCGUCCAGAGUCUAGAAGGUUGUGUCCCAUCUGCUUUUCCUGGCCUCCGGACAGCGAGGAGCUCCGAACAUCACUUUUGCCAAACGGCCGCCCUUAAGACGGGGAACAUUCCAGGAUUCAGAAUUUUUGGUUGGCUGCUCCAGAAACGGCCCAGCUUUGCUGCAUCCCGAAAAAGGCUUCCUCCGAUAAUUUCAAGAAUACGCUCAUUUUCCCACCCCAUCCCCCCUUCCUUGUGGUGGUUUUAUUCCUACCCUGGCCGAGAUCCCGUGGUGGUUUUUGCUGGACUUUUAAACUGUCUCAUUAAACCUGGUUUCCUCCAGAUCAUCCCUUGCUUUGUUUCUUGCUGCUGCUAUUUGGGUUAUCCAUGCAGCUCCAUUGGGUGGAAAACAGUGGCUGAGUUGCUCCAGAACAAUUCCACCUCAUUUCAGGGGGGGAAAAGGAACUGAAGCAAGUGUCAGUCCUGAAGCAUCAUCCAUCCUGUUGUGUCAUGGAGGCGCCAAUAAUCAGAUUGUGAG